rnacentral:lncRNA from 1 species
AUGGAUAUGGAGGGUGGCACUAUUGUUCAAUGUAUUGUUGAAGGUUUUCAUGGCUGGAAUCACUGCAUUGCUGUGAAUCUUUCAGGCUGUAUGGCCAUGUUCCAGAAGCUUUCUUUCCUGACGUUUCACCCAUAUCUGUGGCAGGUAUUAACCUCACAACCUCUGAGGAUGCUUGCCACAGAUGUGGCCGAAACGGCAGGAAAGAAAGCUUCUGGAACAUGGCCAUACAGCCUGAAAGACUCACAGCAACCCGGCACUAUUGUUGUUUCUCUAGUUUCUCCAACAGACAAAGCAGGGGUGGCUCCAGAUAAUAACGAGAUGGCAAUACAAACCACUGUCCUUGCUAAGAGGAAAUGGGAGCCCAGUAAUGUUUUUGCAAAAAGCUGGGAGCGCUUCAAGACCUUCAGGAGGACUGAGCACCAGCAGGAAGUUCAGCCAGUGGAUGAAGCCAAUGGACCUGUUCUUUGUGGAGGAAAUGGCAACAUCCCCAGUGAAGCUGGAGUCCCGGCAGUAGGCAACGUGUUGGAGACAGGGAGUGAGAAAGGACUCCGUGGACUGUGGUCAAAAAGUAUGGUUUCGGAAGAAACUAAAGAGACAAGUUGGAAUCAAGAUGGCUCAAGAAAGAGAGAGAGAGACUGGACAAAGGAUAUGCCCUUCAAAAAGAAAUUCACCCAAUAUGAUGAUCGGCGUAUGUGUUCAGAGCGUGGAAAGAGCUCCAACUAUUCUCCAGGCUUUGUGACACAUCAGACAAGCCAUUCGGAGAUAGGCUAUUACAAGUGCGCAGAAUGUAGAAAGCCCUUCCAUAGUCUGCUAAGCCUUACAGAACAUGAAAGAACCCAUUUAAUGGACAGUCCCUCUACAUCCAGAGUGAGGCAUUAUUUCAAGCCUUGGAUGCUUGAUAGUCUCCAGGAGGUCUGUCAUCGGCAGCCGGCCAGCAAUGAGCCGGAUGACAACCCAAAGCAGACGGAGCUCCCCCAGUCUCUUCUACGCUCACCUUCACCUUAUUCCCUUGUUCCAGCUGCUCAGACAGACCCACCAGUGUCACGUCCUCCUCACCCAGGCACCUUGUUCCUGAAUCAUCCAAAUACAUCCCCAUUCAAUUUGUACAUCCGAUCAACACAUGCCGAAACUGGAUCUUUUUCUCAAGGUGUGCCAGUGAUCCAGAUCUCACCACCCUCCUCUGUUGGACAAUGGACGAUGGAACAACAAUUGCCCGAUGCCCUGGUUUUGGCAGCACCGGAAGAUAUCUCCACCCAAGUUUUUCCAGGUCAGGAAGUGGCCUCUGUCCACAGCCCCAGUCCAACCCUGGGAAUGGAGUUCCCCCAAAGAAUUAAUAUUGGGGUUGAAGGCUAUCCUUGCUUACAGUGUGAGGAGAACUUUGACAACCCAGCCAAGCUUAAACUUCACCAAAAUGAGUGCAAAAAGCUGAAACCGUUCCAAUGCCCACAUUGUAACAAGGGUUUUUACGACGAGUUGAGCUUCAGUGAACACAAGAAGCUCCACGCUACAGAAUCCCCAUAG